CAGAUCUUUGGAGAACAAGGACCUAAAGGUGGAAACUACCAGCCAAGAACAGAAUUCGGGAACAGAAAAUGAAAAUCUCCCCGGAGUCCAUCAUUCACAGCAUCUGGAACAGGAGGAAGAAAUGAAAUACCUGCGAUUCCUCCAACGUCUAACAAAUGACAUUUUAAUCAGAGGCUGCGGCUCUAAGAGAACCAUAGAGAAGGUUUUUCAAGAACACCUUCAAAGAAAAGAACGUGACAUUGAUGAGGAGAAAAAGAAACAUCUCAUGGAAGAAUUAAAGGCCGAGCUCCAGAGCAGCACCAAGCUGGACUUUUCCAUCAGUUCCGAGGGGAC